rnacentral:rRNA from 1 species
AUUGAACGCUGGCGGCAGGCCUAACACAUGCAAGUCGAGCGAGCGGCGGACGGGUGAGUAAUGUAUGGGGAUCUGCCCGAUAGAGGGGGAUAACUACUGGAAACGGUGGCUAAUACUGCAUACUAUCAGAUGAACCCAUAUGGGAUUUGCUAGUAGGUGGGGUAACGGCUCACCUAGGCGACGAUCCCUAGCUUGUCUGAGAGGGUGAUCAGCCAAACUGGAACUGAGACACGGCCCAGACUCCUACGGGAGGAAGAAGUGGGGAAUAUUGCACAAGGGGCGAAAGCCUGAUGCAGCCAUGCCGCGUGUAUGAAGAAGGCCUUAGGGUUGUAAAGUACUUUCAGCGGGGAGGCGUUACCCGCAGAAGAAGUACCGGCUAACUCCGUGCCAGCAGCCGCGGUAAUAC